CGAAAAAAAGAUUCCCCCCCGUCGGGGUCUUUACCCAAAAAACCAGGGGUAAAUUUCUGCCCCCACCCCCGGGUUAUUUGUGGGGGGCCAGCCUUGUCCGGAAUUUUUGGGGGGUAAAGAACGCCCGGCGGGUUUUUUUAAUUCUGAGUAAAAACCCCCCGGCUCCACCGGGGGGGGGGCCUUCGGAAACUGCGGAGACUUGAGGCCAGAAAAGGGGGAGGGGAAUUCCCCCGGGUAGCGGGGGAAAGCGUGAAAAUAUGGGGAAACACCCAUGGGGAAGGGGGCUUUUCUUUUCUUUAUACGACGCUAGGGGGCGAAAAACGGGGGGGGCGAACCGGGUUAUUAUACCCCGGUGUUCCCCCCCCCUUAAAAAGAAGAGUUAUAAGUGGGGGGGGUUCUCCCCCCUUGUGCGCAGAAGAAAACAUAAAAAGCUCUCCCCGGGGGGAGCACGCCCAAAAGGAUAAAUCUAAAAGGAAUUGGGGGGGCCCCGCACAAGCGGUGGAGCAUGUGGUUUAAUUAGAAGCAACGAGAAGCCCCUUACCAGGUGUUGACAUCCUGGGACCACUAUAGAGAUAGAGCCUCCCCUUGGGGGGCAAAGUGACAGGUGGUGCAUGGUUGUCGUCAGCUCGUGUCGUGAGAUGUUGGGUUAAGUCCCGCAACGAGCGCAACCCUUAUUGUUAGUUGCCAUCAUUUAGUUGGGCACUCUAAGAAGACUGCCGGUGACAAACCGGAGGAAGGUGGGGAUGACGUCAAAUCAUCAUGCCCCUUAUGACCUGGGCUACACACGUGCUACAAUGGGAAGUACAAAGAGUAGCGAAGUCGCGAGGAUAAGCCAAUCUCAUAAAUCUUUUCUCAGUUCGGAUUGCAGUCUGCAACUCGCCUGCAUGAAGCUGGAAUCGCUAGUAAUCGCGGAUCAGCAUGCCGCG
rnacentral:rRNA from 1 species